AUCCAGCUGACGAUUCCGAAAUAGGACGAAUUGAUGCGCGUCCCGGAU
rnacentral:hammerhead_ribozyme from 1 species